rnacentral:rRNA from 1 species
UACAGAGGUCUCAAGCGUUUGUUCGGAUUCAUUGGGCGUAAAGGGUGCGUAGGUGGCGCCAUAAGUCAGGUGUGUAAUCUCGGGGCUUAACUCCGAAACUGCAUUUGAUACUGUGGUGCUUUGAGGACUGGAGAGGAGACUGGAAUUCACGGUGUAGCAGUGAAAUGCGUAGAUAUCGUGAGGAAGACCAGUGGCGAAGGCGGGUCUCUGGACAGUUCCUGACACUGAGGCACGAAGGCCAGGGGAGCAAACGGG